rnacentral:rRNA from 1 species
GACGGAGGAUGCAAGUGUUAUCCGGAAUCACUGGGCGUAAAGCGUCUGUAGGUGGUUUAAUAAGUCAACUGUUAAAUCUUGAGGCUCAACCUCAAAAUCGCAGUCGAAACUAUUAGGCUAGAGUAUAGUAGGGGUAAAGGGAAUUUCCAGUGGAGCGGUGAAAUGCGUAGAGAUUGGAAAGAACACCGAUGGCGAAGGCACUUUACUGGGCUAUUACUAACACUCAGAGACGAAAGCUAGGGUAGUAAAUGGG